CCUACGGGAGGCAGCAGUGGGGAAUAUUGGACAAUGGGCGAAAGCCUGAUCCAGCAAUGCCGCGUGAGUGAUGAAGGCCUUAGGGUUGUAAAGCUCUUUUACCCGGGAUGAUAAUGACAGUACCGGGAGAAUAAGCUCCGGCUAACUCCGUGCCAGCAGCCGCGGUAAUACGGAGGGAGCUAGCGUUAUUCGGAAUUACUGGGCGUAAAGCGCACGUAGGCGGCUUUGUAAGUAAGAGGUGAAAGCCUGGUGCUCAACACCAGAACCUGCCUUUUAGACUGCAUCGCUUGAAUCCAGGAGAGGUGAGUGGAAUUCCGGAGUGUAGAGGUGAAAUUCGUAGAUAUUCGGAAGAACACCGGUGGCGAAGGCGGCUCACUGGACUGGUAUUGACGCUGAGGUGCGAAAGCGUGGGGAGCAAACAGGAUUAGGAUACCCUGGUAGUCCACGCCGUAAACGAUGAUAACUAGCUGUCGGGGCUCUUAGAGCUUCGGUGGCGCAGCUAACGCAUUAAGUUAUCCGCCUGGGGAGUACGGCCGCAAGGUUAAACUCAAAGGAAUUGAACGGCUAGAGACGAGCGAGACGACGACGAGGAGAG
rnacentral:rRNA from 1 species